rnacentral:rRNA from 1 species
GACGAACGCUGGCGGCGUGCCUAAUACAUGCCAGUUGAGCGCUGAAGGUUGGUACUUGUCCCAACUGGAUGAGCAGCGAACGGGUGAGUAACGCGUGGGGAAUCUGCCUUUGAGCGGGGGACAACAUUUGGAAACGAAUGCUAAUACCGCAUAAAAACUUUAAACACAAGUUUUAAGUUUGAAAGAUGCAAUUGCAUCACUCAAAGAUGAUCCCGCGUUGUAUUAGCUAGUUGGUGAGGUAAAGGCUCACCAAGGCGAUGAUACAUAGCCGACCUGAGAGGGUGAUCGGCCACAUUGGGACUGAGACACGGCCCAAACUCCUACGGGAGGCAGCAGUAGGGAAUCUUCGGCAAUGGACGAAAGUCUGACCGAGCAACGCCGCGUGAGUGAAGAAGGGUUUCGGAUCGUAAAACUCUGUUGGUAGAGAAGAACGUUGGUGGGAGUGGAAAGCUCAUCAAGUGACGGUAACUACCCAGAAAGGGACGGCUAACUACGUG